rnacentral:rRNA from 1 species
UACGUAGGGUGCAAGCGUUAAUCGGAAUUACUGGGCGUAAAGCGUACGCAGGCGGCUACGUAAGACAGGUGUGAAAUCCCCGGGCCUAACCUGGGAACUGCAUUUGUGACUGCAUAGCUAGAGUCCGUCAGAGGGGGGUGGAAUUCCACGUGUAGCAGUGAAAUGCGUAGAGAUGUGGAGGAACACCGAUGGCGAAGGCAGCCCCCUGGGAUGAGACUGACGCUCAUGUACGAAAGCGUGGGGAGCAAACAGG